CAUUUUAAUUCCUCUAAUGAACAGACCCCAGGUCAGAUGGUAGAAUGAGUUGACAGCCUCCUACAGAAACAGACCCCAGGUCAGAUGGUAGAAUGAGUUGACAGCCUCCUAAUGAACUGACCCCAGGUCAGAUGGUAGAGUGAGUUGACAGCCUCCUAAUGAACAGACCCCAGGUCAGAUGGUAGAGUGAGUUGACAGCCUUGUCUGUAAUGGUUGAUUGGCAGAAUGGUCCGGAGGACGUGGUGCGAGAGACCUGGAUGACAGAGCUUCCUCCAACGCUGCAGCACAUCGGGCUGGGGGCCAGAACCUUCAAGAAGAGGGCUGGACCGGAGAGCAAGGACCGAUCCCUCUGGACCGACACCCCUGCUGACCGAGAACGCAAACUCAGGGAACGACUGGAGGGAAAGGAGAGUGAAGAAACAGAACCGGUCCCUCAACUGUCUCACAAAGAGUUACAGAUGGCUGAGAAAGUGUCCAAAUACAACGUAAGUAGUAGAGCCUCUUUGUCUGCUCAACAACUACAUGAUCUGUACGAAGAUCUCCCUAUGGCAUUUACAACUAGGAGACUAGACCAAGAUGUCUACUGACCCGGAGACUAGACCAAGAUGUUCUACUGAUCUGUACGAAGAUCUCCCUAUGGCAUUUACAACUAGGAGACUAGACCAAG